GUGCCAGCAGCCGCGGUAAUACGUAGGGGGCAAGCGUUGUCCGGAUUCACUGGGCGUAAAGCGCGUGUAGGCGGCGCGUCAAGUCGGGUGUGAAAGCCCGGGGCUCAACCCCGGGAUGCCGCUCGAAACUGGCGCGCUUGAGGACGGAAGAGGGGAGUGGAAUUCCUGGUGUAGCGGUGAAAUGCGUAGAGAUCAGGAGGAACACCCGUGGCGAAGGCGGCUCCCUGGUCCGUUACUGACGCUGAGACGCGAAAGCGCGGGGAGCGAACGGGAUUAGAAACCCGUGUAGUCC
rnacentral:rRNA from 1 species